GACAAGACAGAGGGAUGAGCUGGAAGUUGAACCAGAAUACGUUGCAGGUGAAAAUGCUGACCGACCGAGCUACUAUUCCUUCCAGGGAAAGGCUCCCACCCAUGACCUGACUACCACCUUCAACAGCUCUGUGUUGGCCCCUACCCUGACUGCCAGGAACCUCGGGGUGACACUCUACCAGGGGAGCUCAAUACGUCGAUCGCGGCGUAGUAUUGGUAGAUCGCAUGACAUAAAAAAAAAUUGGCCCACCCCCCUGUAAUUUUCUCUAUAGCACGUCUUUGUUCUUUUAUUAAACUAAACGUCUGUUGUUGAUCGUC